rnacentral:rRNA from 7 species
GGUUUCCGUAGGUGAACCUGCGGAAGGAUCAUUACCGAGUGAGGGCCCUCUGGGUCCAACCUCCCACCCGUGUUUAUUUUACCUUGUUGCUUCGGCGGGCCCGCCUUAACUGGCCGCCGGGGGGCUUACGCCCCCGGGCCCGCGCCCGCCGAAGACACCCUCGAACUCUGUCUGAAGAUUGUAGUCUGAGUGAAAAUAUAAAUUAUUUAAAACUUUCAACAACGGAUCUCUUGGUUCCGGCAUCGAUGAAGAACGCAGCGAAAUGCGAUACGUAAUGUGAAUUGCAAAUUCAGUGAAUCAUCGAGUCUUUGAACGCACAUUGCGCCCCCUGGUAUUCCGGGGGGCAUGCCUGUCCGAGCGUCAUUUCUGCCCUCAAGCACGGCUUGUGUGUUGGGCCCCGUCCUCCGAUCCCGGGGGACGGGCCCGAAAGGCAGCGGCGGCACCGCGUCCGGUCCUCGAGCGUAUGGGGCUUUGUCACCCGCUCUGUAGGCCCGGCCGGCGCUUGCCGAUCAACCCAAAUUUUUAUCCAGGUUGACCUCGGAUCAGGUAGGGAUACCCGCUGAACUUAAGCAU